rnacentral:rRNA from 1 species
UAAAAAAUUUUGGCGGUAUUUUAAGCUUAUUAGAGGAAUUUGCUCUGUGAUGGACACAACGCCUUAAUCUUACUUAAUUUAGUAAUUUAAAUCAGUUUGUAUACCACUAUAUUAAUUAUAUUGAAUAGUUAUAUUUAAUAUUUUUUUUUAAAAAAAUAUAUUAAGUCAAGGUGCAUCUAAUAAUUAUGAAUGAAGUGAAUUACAUUAAUUUUAAUGUAAUUUUUUACAUGAAAAAAUUAAUUAGGAUUUAAUAGUAAAAUACUAAUAUUAUGAGUAUUUGAAUCAAGCUCUAAAAUAUGCACAUAUCGCCCGUCGCUCUCAGAAGUGAGAUAAGUCGUAACAAAGUAAAAAUACUGGAAAGUGUUUUUUAAAAUGAAAUCAUUUGAUGUUUCAUUUACAAUGAAAAUUUUGUUGUAUAACCAUUUUAA